CUCAAACCCAGUUGGGGUGAAGAUAAAUCUCAUAAUAAGAUUGUUUGUCACCGCAAGUCUAUAAAUGGUGGAGUUCAACACAGCCUGGAGGAACAAAUGGGAUUGAUUUCUGAGGCAGUGAAGCAGUGAAGUAACGGGGGAAAUGAUAAUACCACGGUAUGUUGUCUACAGUACUUUGAUAUGUUUGUCUGUUCAUAGAUAUUGACACCAAGAUGCACUGGGGAAUACAGUACAGGUUCUAGUAAUAACUGCAUGUAAAGCCAACAUGAAAUAUUUUAAGUAACUUUCAAUGCAAAAGAGAAUAUUUUAAUGUCAGUAAAUGGAGUUUUGGGGAAAGAAGGCGAAGCAGGCCAAUAGGUGGGAAUGUCGAGUAUUAUUUAUUCAAAUCCUCCAUUUACUGGCUAAGCCUGUUUGGGGCUGAGGAGAAGAGACGACAGGGCUAGUUAUAAUUCAGGGCAGGACAUGGUGAGUCGCGGCUGGUAUAAUGGAGCAUCUGCUGACACUGAAUGCUCCAGAUCCAUCUUAACAUCUGGGCGGUGGGACAGACGAACAGACGCCUACUGCAGCAGCUCUCCUAUUGAUGGUGUUGCGUCAAGGUAAAUGAGAUCCCAUCAACUCGGAGGUUGUUUGAAAUGUUUGUUUCAACACCCCCCUGUAACAUGGUUGUCAUUGUCUCCACAUUAAAGCAUUCAUCCGGUGUAACAGAUGAAGUACCACGACGCCUUUGAUAUAGCCCAGUGGAGAAUGUAUUUAUUCGGGUUUUGAAGUGGAUGGGAUUGUCUGGUCGAAAAAGCGUGGGAGCAACCAAAAACGGCGGUUAGUUCCCAUCGGGGCGCCCACCAGGAUGCAUCUGUCUGUGAGAAGAAGCAGCAGCCAGGGAGUGUGUGGUUCUCUGUGGCCCUUCCAUGAGAGAGCCCAGCCCAGCAGGCCUCCCACGCAGACGCUCAGCGCACAUACAAAAGGGACAUCCUCCUACGCUUUGUUGGCCAAGUGAUUCCCAGCUCACGAAGCAGUGGAGAGAAAAAUAAAUAAAUUGAGUGCCGCAUGAUGACAGGGAGGGGGUGGUGAUUUUGAAAAAUACCUGACUCAUUUUCUCUACUACUUUUUCAUGUUUUUGCACAACGUCUCUCUGGAAGUUGGAAGCAAUGUUGUUGAAGAUCCAAGGGUCACUCGUAUACUCCCACGACUUUACGUCCGUAAAAGCGAUAUGUAGUUUUCUAAUAAAUGCCUAUACGUUGUUGGUAAAGGAAGAUUCUGAAUCAACUUAGUUGAAAGGCCUUUCUUGCCUGUGGAGGAAAAGGUCGCUGACCCUGUGCCCUGGGAGCACUUACUUCUCAGCAGCUAAGACAGGUUCAAAGUGGAUUAAUGCACAAGUUACACACACACAUGCACGCACACACAAACCCUUCUUGUUGUGGUUUGAUAAUCCUCUAAAAAGGUGAUCCAACUGUGCUGAAAGUUUAAUCAGGAUUGGAUGUGUCCAUUAACCACAAUCUCUAAAUUCCGCAUGAGCAUUAGCUUGCCUUGAUAAUCACUGUUCAUUAAGACAUGAAUUCAUUUAUGAAGUCCUGUUGGGCUGUAACUUUUCAGAAUAAUUACAUUCUUCCUUCAUUUAAAAAAUCCAGUUUGAAAUGUUAAUAUUUCAAAGAUGUUCAGUCUAAGCUGUAAUAAUUACUUUUUGUCACAAUUUGCUGCUCGGUUGAGUUGUUGGGAGCAAAAUAUCUGACUAAAGUGUAUUAAAAUUAAUGGACUGUGCUUUCUGUUACAUAAUGAGGGUACUAAAACACAAUUGUUAUAUUUAAUAUACCCAUUUAUAAACUGUUGGUUUAAUUUUCUAUAAUUCCUUGUAAUUGACAAGCCUUACCAUUGGAUUUGAAAUGGAGUUUCAAUUUCUGUCUGGGUUUCUUCUAUGUAACAGAUGCUCGAGGGUAGACUGACACACUCGAAGAAGAUUGCUUUCUAAUUUAACACUUUCCUUUAAAUCAAGACAAAAAUAACCUUGAGCCAUUUAGAUCUGUAGAAAAGGGAAUUGAAACGUCUGCACUUGACUGUUAGCACAUAGAAGUUAUGAAGGUGCCUUAAAAGGAUACUUUGGGAUUUGGGGAAUUAUUUUUCCUACUUACCCAGAGUCAGACGAACUCAUGGAUACCAGUUAUAUGUCUCUGAGUGCAGUUUUAAGGAAGUUGAAGAUAGCAUAUCAUUAGCUUAGCCCAAUUGCUGGAACUCUCCAGGAACUACUAGCCAGCUCC